UGCUCAAGGGCACCUUGUUUACAGGAGGUGAGCUGGCACCUCUCCAGCUACCAGUCCACCUUCCAUAUUUUUGGUCCAUGCUGGACUUGAGCCGGCCAACCUCUGGUUUCCAAGCCAAGUUCCUACGGGCUGAGCUACUGCCGCCCCCAUGCACACACAAAAAAACAAACUUGAAAAAACUUGCAAUACUUUGCACUGCACAACCAACUGUUACGUAUUUCUUUUCUUGAUAUAUCUCACUGUGUAUACUGUUAAUACUGUUAAUUCUGUCUACUGCCAUAUAGCCAUACAUAUACUUAUAUUUAUAUUUAUACUGAUAAUUCUGUUUACACUGUGCCAUAUUGCCACACAGAUGUCUUUAGCUUGUAUAUAUUUUUAGAUUUUUAAGAUUUGUAUAUUUUAUUAUUAUUUUUUUUUCUUUUACUUAUAUAUGUUUAUGCUGUUUGCACGGGAUAAGAGGGAAACGAAAUUUCAAUACUCUGUAUGUACAUAUAGCAGCAUUGACAAUAGAGUUUACUUGAACUUGAACUUAAAUGUACAUGUAAACGUAUGCAUACGCACACUUGUACAUACUUACAAUACAUAAUAAUAACUUCAUCUGUGUGGACAAGAAAUACUAUUCUUAUUAUCUGCAGGUCUGUGUGUCUAAAUGUGCCUUUUAUAUUUCAGCUUCAAUGUUUGGUUUUGAAUAUUUGGGUUACAGUUAGACAGUAAACCAUCUACUAUUGUCAUAGUCUAGUGGUGCCUUCUCCUCAUUUCUUCUUGUUCCACUGUUUUCCCCUCCCCUUUUGUGUCUUGUUUGUCUUGUCUCCCUGGGAGUGGCCAUCAUCAUGAGCUGCCAAUCUGACUCACCUGCAACCAAUACACUACUCAACUCUAGCAGUAUAUCUACCCCGGCUACAUCCAUUCUUCGCCAGAUCGUUGUUUCGCCUACAGUGGACAAUUACCACCACCUCCUGCCAGAGAUCUGCCUGCCUGCUCUCUUCACCAACUUCUCCCCUGCCAGCCCAGAUUGCCUGCUCUCUGCCAUCUCACGACUCCCCUGCUUUAGCUCUGCCAUUUCCUCCUCAUCGGCCAUUACCAGUUCCUCAAUUUAAUAAACCCCUGUUUAAAACUCAUCCAAGUCUGCUUUUGGGUCUGUUCUGCAGCAACCUAACAACUAUUACAACUGUUUACAAUAAUCAUUACAUUUUAAUUGGAAUGUAAUUCCGGAUCAUUUGAGGUUUUUAAAUCCUACCUAAAAACACACUUUUUCUCCCUGGCUUUUAACCAAGUUUAAGUAUCUUAGCAUUUAUUGUAACCUUUUGUAAUUAUAGCAUUAUAUGUAUAUUAUUUGUAUUUACCUGCACAGUUCUUUGGUCAACCUCAGUAGU